GAAAAAUGGCAAAAAACUUAUCCUCUGUCUCCGCCGCCGCAACCACCACUCCCAUCCUACCGGCUCAGGCCACCGGCCCUGCUCCCGUCUUCCUGGCUCUAGCCACUGCCCUGCUCCCGUCUCCCUGGCUCCGGCCGCUGCCCCCGCUCUCGUCUCCCCUGGCUCCAGCCGCCGCCCCGCUCCCGUCUCCCUUGGUUCCAGUCGUCGCCCCGCUCCCAUCUCCCCUGGCUCCGGUCGUCGCCCCACUCCCGUUUCCCCUGGCUCCGGCUGUCGCCCCGCUCCCGUCUCACCUAGCUCCGGCCGUCGCACCGCUCUCGUCUCCCCCCGGCUCCAGCCGCCGCCCCGAUCGCGUCUCCCCUGGCUCUGGCCGCCGCCCUGCUCCUAUCUCCCCCGGCUCCGGCCGCCGCCCACCCCCGUCUCUCCCGCCAUUGGCCACCGCCCCACCCCCAUAUCUACUAGAUCAAGAUGCCACCUCGUCCCCAAUUCCUUCCGGACCCCCAACGUUGUCUAGCUCGCCUCCCGGUCAACGCCGGCAAGCCCUCUCGCAACUCAUCCUUGCUCCUCCCGAGACCAAAGCGUGCAGCCGCCGGCAACCUGGCCGUCGUGCGUCACUGUUGGUCGCAUUCCUCCGCGCCUCCCUAAUCCACCACGCGUCACUACUGCCGCUGCGACGUCACCCCCUGCCGCCAAAGGUCACAGUCCGUUCAAACUGAGUCGCCAGGCCGUUCGUCACCACCACCAAAGCCCGUUCAAUUGGUGUCGUUCAUACAACUGCCAAUGUGGUUGCUGGGGCUAGUCAACUGGAAGAUCUACAGGUCAUCAGUCCGACUUCUUGCUCCGCCACCGGUCACUCAAAAAAGAGUCGCAUGUUGGCCACCCCAUGCUCUGCCCCCUGAUCCGGCAUUUUCUUUUCAAAAAUUUAAAGAGACUCAAGUCCAACUCGCAAACCAAUAGAAGUCCGCAGGCCACUACUACAGCAAAUAUCCGAGUGAGUUGCUGUACAACUUGAGUUCGAUGAGAGGGUGAUAAAUUUAAGAAGAAUCAGGGUCGUAUGCGUGCUGUGUCAUUGAUCUUUCUCUGAACAAUGCUUUCUCUGCCAUGGACGGAUGCCUUCUCUGUAGAUAAGUGCAUAUGAGACUCUAUGCUCUGAAGGUGCUUGUUGAUAUGCCAAUGAGAACAUGUACAUUUUUCUGCAGGUUUUCUUGUUGAUUUAUGAGGGAUACCACAAGUUCUAUUUUUACAGAAGUUGAACUAUAGGAUAUGAAGUUUGAUGGAUGCAGAGGUCAAAGGGGCUCCCUUCUGUUGCUGCCUACUAGAACUUGCGUGUAUGCUGUGGCGUGUGUGCUGGUGCAUGCCUGGUGCCUGAUGCGGCGUGCGAGCAUGUACACAAAUUGAACUGAGUGAUCUCUAGUAAGUGAACUCAAUGAUCUCCUGUAUCUGAACGACAGGGGAGAUGCAUCAUGUACAAAAAAAUGGUAGGAUAUUGAGGUGUUGCUGCUACUUCUUUCUUCUCAUGCCCUACUGUUGCUCCAUUUGAUUUCAUGCUACUUAUAUGAAAAUAAUUGAUGGUCUAGGUGCUUGUUGAAAUGCUUAUGAGAACCAAAUUUUGUUGUUUGGUAUUUGGCAUAAUAGGGCAAAGAAAGGAUACCCUAUGUUGCCUCUUAAACAUUCACACAGAAAGAAUAGAACUACUCCGUACACAUUAUGCGCCGGCGUCAGAACAUGUUAUACUAAUUAUUAAGUUCAGGAACUAUGUUCUAAACUGAAGCUCAGACAAGGAGACGGGGAUAUAUAGACAGAAUGAUGUGCCGUGUGCUGUUAGUUCAGAAUAGUUCUCCGUCGUCGCCGCUGCAGGUUCAUGACCAAGAGGGUGGAGGGCCAGCACUGGGACUAGGCAUCCCGUUCUCCG